UCUCUCUCUCUCUCUCUCUUGCAAGGUUUUGAGUCACAAUACCUAUUACAAUCUUUGGAUACACAAAUUAUGGAGUUGAGGAAUGGAGAUGGACGAAGAACAGAGAGCGGCUGUUGCCGGGUUAGUGAUCCACUCGAUGAGCUCCUCUUUGUGCGCAAUGGUUAGGUACUUGUUGAUCACACCCAGAGCUAGCUUCGUGUGGACCUUUCGAUUGGGCUUCUUCUAUCUGGUGGGCCAAGUGACCUGCGAGGGAACCAUGCUGUCAGGAUGUGGGGUCUGCAUGUCAGGGAGCCUGAGAACUUAACAAAUAAGAUUGUAUAUGCGUAUUAAUUUGCCAAUAAUUCAUCAUAAAUGUUUAUAUGAGUAUGUAAGUUAUGAUUGAAUGGGACUAUUGAUUUUUUUGGGUAAACACGUCACAAGUUUAUGUUUACUGAAUAUCUAUUGAUAUAGAUAACUCUUGAAGAUCAAGGUAACUCAACCACAUGUGCAAAAAACAUAAGUAAUCCAGAUUGAAACUAACUUUUAUUGAGCAAUAUACAUGCACAUUGCUCCUAAGGGUUCAUAGAUAUGCUUCAUGAAACUUCAAUUCUUCUUUGUAUAAUAGUUUGAGUUUUGGGAUGGCUUGAUUGCCAUGUUUUGCUAGCAAGAAUCUGGCCAAGGAUGCUUAUAUUUAUAUAUGUCGUGAG
rnacentral:lncRNA from 1 species